AUUGAACGCUGGCGGCAUGCCUUACACAUGCAAGUCGAACGGCAGCACGGGGGCGAACCCUGGUGGCGAGUGGCGAACGGGUGAGUAAUGCAUCGGAACGUGCCCCGUAGCGGGGGAGUAACCAGUCGAAAGACUGGCUAAUACCGCAUACGCUCCACGGAGGAAAGCAGGGGAUCGCAAGACCUUGCACUAUGGGAGCGGCCGAUGCCCGAUUAGCUAGUUGGUGAGGUAAAGGCUCACCAAGGCGACGAUCGGUAGCUGGUUUGAGAGAACGACCAGCCACACUGGGACUGAGACACGGCCCAGACUCCUACGGGAGGCAGCAGUGGGGAAUUUUGGACAAUGGCGCAAGCCUGAUCCAGCCAUGCCGCGGUGCGGGAUGAAGGCCUCGGUUGU
rnacentral:rRNA from 1 species